rnacentral:rRNA from 1 species
GACGAACGCUGGCGGCGUGCUUAACACAUGCAAGUCGAACGGAAAGGCCCUGCUUUUGUGGGGUGCUCGAGUGCCGAACGGGUGAGUAACACGUGAGUAACCUGCCCUUGACUUUGGGAUACCUUCUGUAAACUGGGGCUAAUACACGAUAGGAGCUCCUGAUGCAUGGUGGGGGUUGGAGAGUUUCGGCGGUUGGGGAUGGACUCGCGGCUUAUCAGCUUGUUGGUGGGGUAGUGGCUUACCAAGGCUUUGACGGGUAGCCGGCCUGAGAGGGUGACCGGCCACAUUGGGACUGAGAUACGGCCCAGACUCCUACGGGAGGCAGCAGGGGGGAAUAUUGCACAAUGGGCGGAAGCCUGAUGCAGCAACGCCGCGUGCGGGAUGACGGCCUUCGGGUUGUAAACCGCUUUCGCCUGUGACGAAGCGUGAGUGACGGUACUGGGUAAAGAAGCACCGGCUAACUACGUG